UCCCUUGUAGCUUAGUCAGUAAAGAAUCUGCCUGCGGUGCAGGAGACCAGGGUUUGAUCCCUGCGUUGGAA
rnacentral:tRNA from 1 species